rnacentral:rRNA from 1 species
CGGCCGUAACUAUAACGGUCCUAAGGUAGCGAAAUUCCUUGUCGGUUAAAUACCGACCUGCAUGAAUGGCGUAACGAGAUGGGAGCUGUCUCAACCAGAGAUUCAGUGAAAUUGUAGUGGAGGUGAAAAUUCCUCCUACCCGCGGCAAGACGGAGAGACCCCGUGGACCUUUACUACAACUUAGCACUGCUAAUGGGAAUAUCAUGCGCAGGAUAGGUGGGAGGCUUUGAAGUAAGGGCUUUGGCUCUUAUGGAGUCAA